rnacentral:tRNA from 1 species
GCGGGCGUAGUUCAGUGGCAGAAUGAGAGUUUCCCAAGCUCUAGACGGGGGUUCGAUUCCCUCCGCCCGCU